GCCCGUCUGGCGAAAUUGGCAGACGCGACAGUCUGAGAGGCUGUUGUCCGAAAGGACGUCCCGGUUCAAGUCCGGGGAUGGGCA
rnacentral:tRNA from 1 species